AUACCAUAAGGGGACAUUUUUUCAAUAGCUCCUUGAUCCUUUCCCAAGAAUCAUACAAUGAUUCACCAUCCAGCUGAUAAAAAUUAUUAAUCUCCCUUCUCAAUUU